rnacentral:rRNA from 1 species
GACGCACGCUGGCGGCGUGCUUAACACAUGCAAGUCGCACGACGUGGCGAACGGGUGAGUAAUACGUGGGUAACCUGCCCUCCUUUUUGGGAUAAGCCUUGGAAACGGGGUCUAAUACCGAAUAAAGGGGGAUGGUCUCGAGGCCUAUCAGCUUGUUGGUGGGGUGAUGGCCUACCAAGGCGGUGACGGGUAGCCGGCCUGAGCGGGGGACCGGCACCAUUGGGACUGAGAGACGGCCCAGACUCCUAAGGGAGGCAGCAGUGCGGGAUAUUGCACAAUGGGCGAAAGCCUGAUGCAGCGACGCCGUGUGGGGGAUGGAGGCUUUCGGGUUGUAAACCUCUGUCGCUAUCGAAAGGGUAGUGGGAGAAGAAGCGCCGGCUAACUACGUGCCAGCAGCCGCGGUAAUGC